AUAGCGGGGUAAGGUCUUCACGUCUGAGGAAGAGAUCUGUGGCUGCGGGAGAUCUCUGCGGAUUGGGGCUCCAGCCUGACUGACCCGACAGUGCGGGUGGCCUAGGGGGAGGCGCUCAGAGUAGGAACCCGGGGGUGCAGACGGGAUCUGCCGGAUCCCCAGGCGUGUGUGUGCGCGGGUAUCAGAGGAGGGGGAUUGUGAGAUCAUGAGUGACGGAGGGGACUGUGAGUGUGUGCGUGAGGUUCUAUGCACAGGCCCGGGAGGGCGUGUGGACGCAGCGCACUUUGCUGAGUGACACUGUGCCGGUGCCCCUAGGCUCCUGCUGCUUCCUCCCUCUUUCCGCUUCACAGCUGCGGGGACUGCAGCAGAGGAAUGGCCCCAGUAGGGAGGUCAGAUAUUGAGCCGAGAAUGAAGCUUUACACAAGAAAGCGCAGAAGUGCCCCCGAGUGUUCCCCAGGGGGGCAGCUACAUGUUGAGAACCACAGCGUCCUCAGAGCUCUGUCCCCAGAAACCAGCUCCAAACUGGUUGUACUGGUUGAAUCGAUUCCUCUUCCUUUUACUUCCUUCCUAUUUCGUGUGAAGUGAGGGAAAUUGUGGCUAUGGAGGGAGGGUGUUUUCAAACUUAGUCUGCGCUCCAAGAAAUGCCUGGAGUCUCACGCUUGCCGUAUCCUUCUCCAGUCGUAUUUUUAUCCAAAAGAAGGACCUGGAGGAGGAUGAGAGCGUUACUGCUGCACACCUAAAGUCAAGGGGGAGAAGCCCGAGGAAGAUUGACCAAUUUUGUAAUUCUAGAAACAUGGUCCAUGGAUCAGUGACAUUCAGGGAUGUGGCCAUUGACUUCUCUCAGGAGGAGUGGGAGUGCCUGCAGCCUGAUCAGAGGACCUUGUACAGGGAUGUGAUGUUGGAGAACUACAGCCACCUGAUAUCACUGGGAAGUUCCAUUUCUAAGCCAGAUGUGAUUACAUUACUAGAGCAAGAGAAAGAGCCCUGGAUUGUUGUAAGUAAAGAAACAAGCAGAUGGUAUCCAGAUUUGGAGUCAAAAUAUGGACCUGAGAAAAUAUCUCCAGAAAAUGAUAUUUUUGAAAUAAAUUUACCCAAACAUGUUAUAAAGCAAAUAAGUAAAACACUUGGCCUCGAGGCCUUUUAUUUUAGAAAUGACUCAGAAUAUAGAAGUAGAUUUGAGGGACGACAGGGACAUCAAGAAGGAUAUAUCAACCAGAAGAUCAUCAGCUAUGAAGAAAUGCCUGCUUAUACUCAUGCUUCUCCUAUUCAUAAUACACAUAAACCAUAUGAAUGUAAGGAAUGUGGGAAAUACUUUAGUUGUGGUUCAAAUCUUAUUCAGCAUCAGAGUAUUCAUACUGGAGAGAAACCCUAUAAAUGCAAAGAAUGUGGGAAAGCCUUUCAACUUCACAUACAACUUACUCGACAUCAGAAAUUUCAUACUGGUGAGAAAACUUUUGAAUGUAAGGAAUGUGGAAAAGCCUUUAAUCUUCCCACCCAGCUUAAUCGCCAUAAGAACAUUCACACAGUUAAGAAACUGUUUGAAUGUAAGGAAUGUGGGAAGUCUUUUAAUCGUAGCUCAAACCUUACUCAGCAUCA
rnacentral:lncRNA from 1 species